rnacentral:rRNA from 1 species
UCGAGCGGAUGAGAGGAGCUUGCUCUUCGAUUCAGCGGCGGACGGGUGAGUAAUGCCUAGGAAUCUGCCUAGUAGUGGGGGACAACGUUUCGAAAGGAACGCUAAUACCGCAUACGUCCUACGGGAGAAAGUGGGGGAUCUUCGGACCUCACGCUAUUAGAUGAGCCUAGGUCGGAUUAGCUAGUUGGUAGGGUAAAGGCCUACCAAGGCGACGAUCCGUAACUGGUCUGAGAGGAUGAUCAGUCACACUGGAACUGAGACACGGUCCAGACUCCUACGGGAGGCAGCAGUGGGGAAUAUUGGACAAUGGGCGAAAGCCUGAUCCAGCCAUGCCGCGUGUGUGAAGAAGGCCUUCGGGUCGUAAAGCACUUUAAGUUGGGAGGAAGGGCUCAUAGCGAAUACCUGUGAGUUUUGACGUUACCAACAGAAUAAGCACCGGCUAACUUCGUGCCAGCAGCCGCGGUAAUACGAAGGGUGCAAGCGUUAAUCGGAAUUACUGGGCGUAAAGCGCGCGUAGGUGGCUUGAUAAGUUGGAUGUGAAAUCCCCGGGCUCAACCUGGGAACUGCAUCCAAAACUGUCUGGCUAGAGUGCGGUAGAGGGUAGUGGAAUUUCCAGUGUAGCGGUGAAAUGCGUAGAUAUUGGAAGGAACACC